rnacentral:rRNA from 1 species
GCAAGUGACGGUACCUGCAGAAGAAGCACCGGCCAACUACGUGCCAGCAGCCGCGGUAAUACGUAGGGUGCAAGCGUUGUCCGGAAUUACUGGGCGUAAAGAGCUCGUAGGCGGUUUGUCGCGUCGUCUGUGAAAACCAGCAGCUCAACUGUUGGCUUGCAGGCGAUACGGGCAGACUUGAGUAUUUCAGGGGCAGAGGGAAUUCCUGGUGUAGCGGUGAAAUGCGUAGAGAUCAGGAAGAACAUCGGUGGCGAAGGCGCUCUGCUGGACCAUAACUGACACUCAGGGACGAAAGCUAGGGGAGCGAAUGGGAUUAGAUACCCCAGUAGUCCUAGCCGUAAACGAUGGAUACUAGGUGUUGUCUGUAUCGACCCGGACAGUGCCGUAGCUAAC